rnacentral:rRNA from 1 species
AGACAGCAGUCGCCGCGGGAAUACAGAGGGUGCAAGCGUUAAUCGGAAUUACUGGGCGUAAAGCGCGCGUAGGUGGUUUGUUAAGUUGGAUGUGAAAGCCCCGGGCUCAACCUGGGAACUGCAUCCAAAACUGGCAAGCUAGAGUACGGUAGAGGGUGGUGGAAUUUCCUGUGUAGCGGUGAAAUGCGUAGAUAUAGGAAGGAACACCAGUGGCGAAGGCGACCACCUGGACUGAUACUGACACUGAGGUGCGAAAGCGUGGGGAGCAAACAGGAUUAGAUACCCCUGUAGUCCCUGUCUCUUAUAC